rnacentral:rRNA from 1 species
AUUGAACGCUGGCGGAAUGCUUUACACAUGCAAGUCGAACGGCAGCACGGACUUCGGUCUGGUGGCGAGUGGCGAACGGGUGAGUAAUGUAUCGGAACGUGCCCAGUCGUGGGGGAUAACGUAGUGGAAAUUACGCUAAUACCGCAUACGAUCUAUGGAUGAAAGCGGGGGAUCGCAAGACCUCGCGCGAUUGGAGCGGCCGAUAUCAGAUUAGGUAGUUGGUGGGGUAAAGGCCCACCAAGCCAACGAUCUGUAGCUGGUCUGAGAGGACGACCAGCCACACGGGAACUGAGACACGGUCCAGACUCCUACGGGAGGCAGCAGUGGGGAAUUUUGGACGAUGGGCGAAAGCCUGAUCCAGCCAUUCCGCGUGCAAGAUGAAGGCCCUCGGGUUGUAAACUGCUUUUGUACAGAACGAAAAGGUUUCUACUAAUACUAGGAGCUCAUGACGGUACUGUAAGAAUAAGCACCGGCUAACUACGUGCCAGCCGCCGCUGUAA